UCACUGUGUAUAGCUUCGUCAACAUAGUGUCCUUUGAAUUGCAUGCUAUUUACAUGUAUCUUUAAAGAGUGUUUAAGAGUUUGGGUGGAUAUUGUUAUAAGAACAGAAGACUUUCCACAUUAUCCUCAUUGGAGUCUUAAGUGAUCUAGCACUCUGGUGUUGCAAAUGCACCCCACAUUCACCUGACUGUGACAGUUUUCUUUGACAUUUUUCUGAUUCUGUAAGUCUAUCCAAUAUUCACAUGUUGUUCACUUGCAGGCAUAUUUGACUAAUAGGAACACAUACAUAACAUCACCGGAUUUUUAUUAUAGUAACAUUUUCAGUGUUUCAUAGGCAGUAUUAGAUAAAUUUUAUUUACACAUAUAUAUAUAUAUAUAUAUAUAUAUAUAUAUGCAAAAUUAUAUAUAAAUAAUAGAAUACAGAUUACACUUAUAGAUUACAAUAUAGAUUAUUAGUGAAUUGUUCUAUAAAUGUGUGGUUUACAAUUAGUUACUCCACAAUCUAAUCUAAGAAUAAUUUAUUUUAUUAUUUUUCAAGAUCCUUUAAUAAAGUAUUUCCUCAAGUUUAAUAACGCAGACGUGUCUAAUCAAAGUGAACCAGCUCACCAUCUGCUCCCAGUUCUGCUAUUCAGGCAGGGAUAACACUAAAAUCUGCCUGUCAGAGUUUCAGUUAGGAAAAUAAAACAAGCAAUGAGACCCAAGUGACACCAGCAUUUAUCUGCAAAUCUUAAAUUGGUAUCUAUAUAGAUACGUGUAACAAAUAACAAUUAAUGAAAAAUAGAAAAGCAAAAAGGAGACUAAGAAAUAGGAGGAGUUAAGAAGUGGGUAGAUUCGUGGGUGGACCUUGAACUAUUCGGGGGAACAAUGGGAAGAUGGAUAUAAUCAAAAUAUAUUGUAGAAAAUUAUCAAAAAUUAAAUGAGAAAUUUAAAUUAAAAAAGAAUAGCACCCAUGUAGAUAUAAUCCUUAUGUAUUAUACAAAAUGAAUGCACUUAAUACAAAUCUUUUGUCAGUUAAAGAUAUUUUGCAAUAAAAUAACUAUGUGGUGAUGUUUACUGACAUAAUGAAUUACAAUCUCUAUAACCAGUUCUUUUAUAUGUAAGGCACAUGGCCUAGUAUUUCUCCUUCAUUUUCUCCAGAGGAUGCAAUCCUUUAUGGACCUAAGAGGAAUAAAUAAGAGACUAACCAAUUUAUAUGCUGGAUACAAAAUAUCUGACUAAGCUUUGUUGAACACUUUAGGUUGUCAGGAGUGCCUUUUCAUGAUGCACAUAAAGAGGCUGGCCAGGUCUGGGCUUACGGCUUGAGUAAUGGCUUAGGGAGCUCAUAGGGGUAAUUAGAAGUAAGUAUUUGUCCAUACUAUUCCUGCCCAUCAGCUAUAUGAAGCCUGGGCCAGAUCACGUUUUGAUGGGUAAACAAUAGCAUGAUUUCCCCUGUGGAGAACAGAUGAUAUGCACGUUUUAGUUCACCGGAGAGUACUCCUUUGUCAGAAUCAUACAUUAUUAAUGAUUGUUCCAACAUUGUUUUCACAAAAUGAUAAUGGCAGUGACUUGAAUCUCCUUCCUUUUGUCAGUAAGUUAGUCUGCUACUGUGUAGCCCAUAGUCAUCUUGAAUUCUCUGAGCAAACUCUCCUGGCUCUCCAUUUUCACUGUGACGCUGCAGCAGGGGAAACACUCCUCCUUUUAUUCCCAUCUCUUCUUAUCUAUUCUGAUACAGUUGGUAUUCCAGGCUGAGAAUCAAUCAACUUCAAGUUUGGCUAGAAAUCUUUGCAUAAGUCAUGCUCAUAUUUAUAUGCUUUCAAAAUGAGACUAUAGAGAAGCAGCAGUUUCAUUUUAUGGAAAGUUUUACAUUUUCCUUUUGAGUUAUAGAAUAUAAAGAAGAUAUAAUCAACAAAAUCAGCUUCAGGGACUGCAUCUUUUAAAAUUAGCUUGAUACAAUAUGAGCAUAAAUUAUCUAGCUUGAUUAUCAAAAAGGAAAGAAAAAAUGUCAUUUUGCAUUCAUGUUUCCACUUUUAUAUUUUAGCUCACUUCAUAGUCAUUGGGGGAUUGUAUUUUUAAACCAAAGUGUUUUUCCAUUGUGUUUAAAAAAAAAAGAUAAAGUUAUAAAAAGCUAUGCUGACAACACUGAAGCAGGUCAACAUACAAGUAGCAUUAAAAUAUAUAUUCUUUUUCCUCUUUUAAUUUUUAAUUCUACUUCAGUAGACAUCUCCAUUUUUCACUUCUCUUUUUUAAACAUUUUAUGGAUCCUUUGUGAAUUGCAUAAGACAAAAACAAAACCUACAAAUUUCCUUCUGGAACCUAUGUUAUGUUACAAGUGUAUCCACAGUAUACCCAGUUGUCCAUAUAUUGUUCCUUGAAAAUAUUAAUUGCAAUGAGUCAUUGGUCUUGUUUGAGGACUCUGGCUCCUGCUACACUAGUAAUACUGGAUCCUCAUUGGACAUAACUGUAUCCUCUGGGAUAUCAUGUUUUUGUUCUGUGUCAUGGACAUCCUGCAGUUAUGGACCACCAAGAGCUGUCUCUUCAUGUGCUCUAACAGUUGGUAGGUGGAGUAGAUGUUGGGUGGACCCACUUGAAUCCAUUCUUCUGGGCUUGGGUAGUAGCUAAGUUGGUCAGCGCAUCAGCUCUCCUGCAUCCACAACACCAGGUGGAGUUCUCCAGCACUGCAACAGCUAGCUCCCCCAAUUCUACAACCAAAAAGGGACAGAGCCAGGCCCCAGCACUCAUGUUCCUGCCCAUACCACCUUGUUUUGCCUCAUUAGCAUAAGGAAUUGCAAUAAAAUAACUUUGAAAUUGGCAAAUUACAUCAAAAAGUGACUCACAUUCCACCCCUGCAGUGAAGUCACUAUAGCAGGAUACAGGUAUUUGAUGUCUUUUAAGAAGUAUAAAAUUUCCAGAUGCAAUUUGUGCAAUAAUUUAUAUGAAUAGGCUUGGUGUUAAGCCAGGAACUGGGAAGGCAGAGGCAGGUGACUGACAAGUUUAACUGAGUUUAACAUUUAUAUCAUUUCAAAAUAAAAAAUAGAGUUAAUGAUAAACAAGAAAACAGAAUGUGAGGUCAACAUAUAGGAGAAUAAAACAUUGUAAUAUUUGGUAAAAUUUUCCAUAAGAUAUUGUAGUGGCUCAUUAACUCCCUUAUUUCUAAACUGGUAAGUUAUACAUUUAUGAAAUCAUUUCAGAGAUAAACAUUGAUAAAUUAAAUUUUACAUCUACAAUUCUAUUUUUUACCUCUUUUUAAUAUUAAUUUAUUUUUUACACUCCAUAUUCUAUUCCCCACCUCUAUAACCCUCUGAAUGCCCCACAUCCCACACCUCCUCUCCAUCACACCUGUCUCCACGGGGAUGCCCCCACUUCCCACUCCACCUGACAUCUAAACUCUCUGGGGCCUCCAGUUUCUUAAGGGUUAGGAGAAUCAUCUCUGAAUAAACACAGACACAAAAGUCCUCUACUGUAUGUGUGUUGGGGGUCUCAUAUCAGCUGGUGUAAGCUGUCUGUUUGGUGGUCCAGUGUUUGAGAGAUCUUGGGUGUCCAGAUUAAUUGAGACUGCUGGUCCUCCUACAGGAUCGACCUUCUCCUCAGCUUCUAUUUUUAAUAGCUAGUGCCACAAUUAAACAACAACUGAACUGAGGAAAUAAAAGGUCUUAAAAUAGAAUAUGUUAAGUAAAUAUUUGCUAAUUGUGUUUUAUAAAAGGUUUUUUAGAAAAAAAACAAGAGCUUACAAUGUUAUAAAUCUAUUAUACAGUUCAUAAUUUGAUUUAAAAUUAAUGUUUAAUAAUGUCUAGUGCUAUUUCUUUUUUGUUGAUGUUGUUCUGCUUUAAUUUUUUUCGAUUUUAUUGGAUAUUUUAUUUGCAUUUCAAAUAUUAUCCCCUUUCCAGGUCUCUCCUCCAGAAGCCUCCUCUCCCAUCCCUCCUCCCCCUACCUCUAUGAGGGUGCUUCUCCACCCAUCCAUCCACUUCUGCCUUCGUACUGAGAUUCCCCUACACUGAGGCACUGAACCCUAUCAGGCCCAAGAGUGUCUCCUCCCACUGAUGUGCAACAAGGCCAUCCUCUGCUAAAUAUGUGGCGGGAGCCAUGGGUCCCUCCACGUGUACUAUUUGGUUGGUUGUUCAGUCCCUGGGAGCUCCGGGGUUUGGGGGGGAGGGUCUGGUGGCUCAGAGUUGCUCCCCAAUGGGGCUGCAAAACCCCUCAGCUCCUUCAGUCCCUUCUCCAACUCCUCCAUUUGGGACCCCUUGCUCAGUCCAAUGGUUGGCUGUGAGCAUCUGCCUUAAAUAUCAGAGACAGUAUUGAAAAAUCUAGAGAGCUAUGUUAUGGUACUUUUUAAUUUUAGAAAAAUGUUUAGAAAUUAAAAAAAAACAGGUUUUCAGACAUCAAGUGGUUUUAAUAGUAUGGCAAUCAAAUAGAAAUUCACAUAUUGUUUAAUAUAUAUAUCAACUCAAAGUCCUGAUGAGAAGUUAGCACAUGACAUGGAGCAGACUCCCAGGUGUGCUGCCAGGAGCAGUGUGAGUCAUUCAUAUUUUGUUCCAGACUUAAGUCAGUUUUCCUAUCACUCCAGAAAAAAAAGCACUGGCCAUUUUUUUUAUAAUAAUAUGGACUAAAUUUGAUUAGUAUGUUAAUUAUAUGAAUCAAUUAUGCUAACUUAUACAGCAAGAUAGAAAUGCAGAUGGGCUUUUGCUUUAGAAGUAAGGAGAAACAAUAGCAUACAUAUGCUGCAAAUCAAGCUACAAGUCGCUGAGCGAAUUCAGUGCUGCCUUCCGUCCAGUCCAUGUGCCCUCUGUCCAUGCUGCUUCCCCGUGCCAAGCAAGACUUUCAGACUGCUGGCCGGUUCCUAGAGAGUUUUCCUACUGACUUGCCAAUUAUAGGGGACUUUCGGAAUAACAUUUGAAAUGUAAAUGAAGAAAAUAUCU
rnacentral:lncRNA from 1 species